rnacentral:rRNA from 1 species
UACAGAGGUCUCAAGCGUUGUUCGGAUUCAUUGGGCGUAAAGGGUGCGUAGGUGGCGCGCUAAGUCAGGUGUGAAAUUUCGGAGCUUAACUCCGAAACUGCAUCUGAUACUGGCGUGCUUGAGGACUGGAGAGGAGACUGGAAUUCAUGGUGUAGCAGUGAAAUGCGUAGAGAUCAUGAGGAAGACCAGUGGCGAAGGCGGGUCUCUGGACAGUUCCUGACACUGAGGCACGAAGGCCAGGGGAGCAAACGGG